GAUGAAGAACGCAGCGAAAUGCGAUACGUAAUGUGAAUUGCAAAUUCAGUGAAUCAUCGAGUCUUUGAACGCACAUUGCGCCCCCUGGUAUUCCGGGGGGCAUGCCUGUCCGAGCGCCAUUGCUGCCCUCAAGCACGGCUUGUGUGUUGGGCCCCGUCCUCCGAUCCCGGGGGACGGGCCCGAAAGGCAGCGGCGGCACCGCGUCCGGUCCUCGAGCGUAUGGGGCUUUGUCACCCGCUCUGUAGGCCCGGCCGGCGCUUGCCGAUCAACCCAAAUUUUUUAUCCAGGUUGACCUCGGAUCAGGUAGGGAUACCCGCUGAACUUAAGCAUAUCAAUAAGCGGAGGA
rnacentral:misc_RNA from 1 species